UACGAAGGGGGCGAGCGUUGUCCGGAAUUACUGGGCGUAAAGGGCGUGUAGGCGGCUUUUUAAGUCAGACGUGAAAUCCCUGGGCUUAACCCAGGACCUGCGUUUGAAACUGGAAGGCUUGAGGAUCGGAUAGGGCAGUGGAAGUCCCAGUGUAGCGGUGAAAUGCGUAGAUAUUGGGAGGAACACCAGUGGCGAAGGCGACUGCCUGGACGACACCUGACGCUGAGGCGCGAAAGCUAGGGGAGCAAACGGG
rnacentral:rRNA from 1 species